GUGAGAAUGACUAAAUUAUACCUACUCAAUAAUCUAUUUUCUAAUUGCUUGGAUGUGAUUAUUAUUUAUUAGAUUAAUGAAUGUUUUUUCCAGGAAAUUACUAAAAACACAGAAAGUGAAUCUAAGAUUAAUGAAUGUGUUACCCAAGAAGUUAUUAAAAACACAGAAAAUGAAUCUAAGUUGAUACAUGAUACUUCUUUAAAUAAGAUUGACAGCUUAAACACACUUCAUCGCUUCAAUGAUAUUGGUUACUUUGUGAACCAAAUUUAUUUGUCUGAUGCUGAUAAAUAUUUAAUACUUACAAAUUUGUGGGUACCACCUUCAAAUUAUACUUUUCCAUUGAGUCAAAAAAAUGAAAAGCGUAAGCUGCGAUUUCAAUUUAAAUGGCUUUUGGAAUUUAAUUGAUUAGCUUACUCAGAAGCGAAAGGUGGAGCAUUUUGCAAGUAUUGCACGAUUUUUGUAAAAGUUGGUG